rnacentral:ribozyme from 14 species
UUUUUCCUCUUUUCCGUUUUUUUUUUCAAAGUUUUUUUUCCCUUCUCUAUUUUUCCUAUUUUGGC